GACGAACGCUGGCGGCGUGCUUAACACAUGCAAGUCGAGCGGUAAGGCCCUUUCGGGGGUACGACGAGCGGCGAACGGGUGAGUAACACGUGGGUGACCUGCCCUCAGCUCUGGGAUAAGCCUGGGAAACCGGGUCUAAUACUGGAUAUGACUCCAUGACGCAUGUUGUGGGGUGGAAAGCCUUGUGCGGCUGAGGAUGGGCCCGCGGCCUAUCAGCUUGUUGGUGGGGUGAUGGCCUACCAAGGCGACGACGGGUAGCCGGCCUGAGAGGGCGACCGGCCACACUGGGACUGAGACACGGCCCAGACUCCUACGGGAGGG
rnacentral:rRNA from 1 species